rnacentral:rRNA from 1 species
AGUUUGAUCCUGGCUCAGAUUGAACGCUGGCGGCAUGCUUUACACAUGCAAGUCGAACGGUAGAGGGGCAACCCUUGAGAGUGGCGAACGGGUGAGUAAUGCAUCGGAACGUGCCCAGUAGUGGGGGAUAGCCCGGCGAAAGCCGGAUUAAUACCGCAUGAGACCUGAGGGUGAAAGCGGGGGACUCGCAAGAGCCUCGCGCUACUGGAGCGGCCGAUGUCAGAUUAGCUAGUUGGUGGGGUAAAGGCCUACCAAGGCGACGAUCUGUAGCUGGUCUGAGAGGACGACCAGCCACACUGGGACUGAGACACGGCCCAGACUCCUACGGGAGGCAGCAGUGGGGAAUCUUGGACAAUGGGCGCAAGCCUGAUCCAGCCAUGCCGCGUGCGGGAAGAAGGCCUUCGGGUUGUAAACCGCUUUUGUCAGGGAAGAAAUCUUCUGGGCUAAUACCCUGGGAGGAUGACGGUACCUGAAGAAUAAGCACCGGCUAACUACGUGCCAGCAGCCGCGGUAAUACGUAGGGUGCAAGCGUUAAUCGGAAUUACUGGGCGUAAAGCGUGCGCAGGCGGUUAUAUAAGACAGAUGUGAAAUCCCCGGGCUCAACCUGGGAACUGCAUUUGUGACUGUAUAGCUAGAGUACGGUAGAGGGGGAUGGAAUUCCGCGUGUAGCAGUGAAAUGCGUAG